rnacentral:rRNA from 1 species
UACGGAGGAUGCGAGCGUUAUCCGGAUUUAUUGGGUUUAAAGGGAGCGUAGGCGGGUUAUCAAGUCAGCGGUAAAAUCGUGGAGCUCAACUCCAUCCAGCCGUUGAAACUGAUGAUCUUGAGUGGGCGAGAAGUAUGCGGAAUGCGUGGUGUAGCGGUGAAAUGCAUAGAUAUCACGCAGAACUCCGAUUGCGAAGGCAGCAUACCGGCGCCCGACUGACGCUGAAGCACGAAAGCGUGGGUAUCGAACAGG